ACACAAAGUACUUUCUUGAAGCAUAACUAUUACUUUUUAAGAUUUCAAGUUAUAAUGGCAAAUAGAGAUGAAAGUUAAUGACAUGAAACUGUUCAUGUACUUUAAGCCGAUUGUUAAAGCAGAAUUGAACCAACCAAACUGUUCUAGACAGACAGUGAAAACAAGAUAGAAUUUCUUUAAAGGAGGGGGUGUGGGAAAAUAUUUCAAGAUAGAUAUUACAUGUUAUGUAAAAAAAAAGUCCUACUUGACAUUUAGUCUUUUUUUGGGCGGGAAGGGGUCUUUAUUUCUAAUAGCUCUUCAGACCCCGGUGGCAAUUUAUUUUUAAGCUCCUUUCAGACUAAUUCCAAUUUACAUUCUGGAAGAAACAGGCCCAUCUUUAUUCAUUAAUUUUUUCAGCCUUUGAAAGGUCAGUGACUCUCCGUGCUGCUAAAAGAUCUCUGAUUACAAUGCUUUGAUGAGCAGAGGGAACAUUUAGAAUUUCUGAUUCUGAUCAGAGAGCUGAAAUGAUCUGAGAGAAAAGAGAAGGAAUCCUAAAACUGCUAAGCAGAACCUAACUCUUAGGUGGGGUCAAAUUCAUUACUCCAUUCUACAAAAAUGUAUUUAUUAAAUGACUAUUAUGGUCCAGACCUCCCUCAGUGUAAAAUGUAAGGAGACACAUCACAAAAAGAAUUGAAAGUCCUGGCCUGUGCACUAAUGAGGCUGGGCCAGGAAUCCCAACUCUACAAACUUUGUCUUGAACAAAUCAUUUCCAAACCCACGGGUCCUCACCCAUGAAUAAGUCAGUUAUGCAUAGCUCUAAACGGUAAGGAUUAAAAACAAAAGACAAAGUAGCUAAUAGAAUGUCUGACGUAUUAUAGACCACCCAUAGAUGCUAAGGUUCUAGCCCUGGUCAGUUCUUGUUGUCCUGGUUACAUGAAUGCAGGAGUUACAGGAGAACUGUUACCAGUUACAAAACUUCAGGUCUUUGAAGCUUACUCUUUGUACUCUUAUCUCCUCAUACCUUAUCAAGGAAUUUGCCUCUCAGGUCACCAAAUUGCUACAAGUAUUCAGGACUCUAAAAUUCAGGAUCCAAGUGGCCCCUCAGAUGUGGUAUAGAGGUUAAUAGGAAAGGAGCCUUUCCUAGAAAGUCGAGGAACCAUAAGGUAAAAAGGAGAUCGUCUUAGAGAGCUGUCACAUUGGCUAACCAUUCAUAGGGCUUACUUUUCCUGCUUUGCUUUUCACAUCCAAAAGGGUAUGAUAUGUGCUCAAAAUUUUGAUAUAUAUGUUUCGUGCAUGUGUUUCCCAUUGUACCUUUUUACAAAUGUGAAUUUUUAUUGAAGCUAUCUUUUCCCUUUUCUACCCUUGUAUAUUGGAUGUGUUGGCUUCCUCAUAGUGAUACUCCCAGAACUCCCCUAUGCUACUACUCAUUCAUUAUAGGCCCAUAACAUGCAAGGCCUUAUUCAUUCAAGGCCCAACAUAGUCCAGAUGGAGCAGUACAAGACCUGUUUCCCCAGGAAAUGGUGUGCACACAAAAUGAGAUAGAAGAACUGUCAAUUAUUAGUGGGAAAACUGGCAAGACCCAAAUAAAGUCUGUAGUAGAGUUAAUGGUGUCA
rnacentral:lncRNA from 1 species